UGGGGGCUGUCCUGGGGAGGCGGAGGAACGGGAGGGGCCGGCCCAUGGGGACCCUGUGGGACCCUGUGGUGGCCAUAAGGGACCCCGCGGUGACCGAAUAAAGGCCUGUGAGGCUUUGUGGUGGCCGUGUGGGGCCUGUUGGUGACAGUCAGGGCCCUUGUGGUGGCCGUGUAUGUCACCAGUGUGACCGUGUGGGGCCCCAAGGGGACUGUGUGGGGCCCCUAAGUGAGCGUGUGGGACUCCGAGCUGCGGGCGGAUGUCGGGGGCGGGGGGAGGGCAGGGGACGGUUCCCAAAAUCACAUCACGAGCUGCGCCGCUCCGGCCACCACCUCCACCACCUCUCCUCUGGCUCCCGAGGCAUCUGACACAGACUCUGGGGACACAGACACAGAAUCUGGGAAUCUACCCUGGAAAAAACAGGUCUGUGCUCCUCUGAAGAGCCCUGAAGACGCCCGUGCUCCUGAGCGUGUUGGUAAGAGUGACAGGAGUCCUUCCCAGCUCAGACGUGCCCUUAGCAGCCCAGGAGAGACCAGGCUGCUGCAUCUGCUCCACCCUGCUCUGCCUAUGGCCACCUCCGGAGCCAUGGCACGUUGGUGCACGGAUGCAGCGUGGAGCAGAGCUAUGCAGCCCGAUGGUAAACCCUACCUGCGUGAUAAAAGUGUGUCACACGUGCCUCUGCGUAAAAGCAUGCACACAAGUAUUUAUGGAAUACCUCAGGCACGGUGCCUUCACACCCUGCCUCACCUCACCCCCGUGCAGUCAUACCAGUCGGCCUGGCUCCCAGAGGCACUGCGCCUCUCACCCCGCUGCGAACCUGCGCCUCCGUCCUGCUAAUGACACAGCAGCCGGGCUGCCACGGUGACAACGUGACUCCAGAAGCUGCUGCCUUUAAAAAAAAAAAAAAAAAAAAAAAAAAAAGGAAAGGAAACCAAACAAACAGCACUAAAUGUGCACAAUCAAAUGAUGAGUGUUUGUAUUGCUGAUGCUUUGAGGCCAGCUCACAACCCUCCCUCCACAUAAUGCUCAGGAUGUUUGGGAAGGGGUAUUUUUCUUUUAAUAGGGCAGCGUAGUCACAAAGCUUUAAAGAAAUAAAUGAGUGAAUCGUCUAUGGUAAUAGCA
rnacentral:lncRNA from 1 species